rnacentral:sRNA from 1 species
AGGAGGAAUUUUGAAGCCACCUUAGGUUGGCUACAAGAACAUGCUUGCUCAAGAACUUAUGGUCUAGGCACUCACUUGCCUUGGGAUGAGCAGUGGCUGAUUGAAUCACUUUCUGACUCCACUAUUUACAUGGCAUUUUACACAGUUGCACACCUGUUGCAGGGGGGUAACUUGCAUGGACAGGCAGAGUCUCCGCUGGGCAUUAGACCGCAACAGAUGACCAAGGAAGUUUGGGAUUAUGUUUUCUUCAAGGAGGCUCCAUUUCCUAAGACUCAGAUCGCAAAGGAAAAAUUAGAUCAGUUAAAGCAGGAGUUUGAGUUCUGGUAUCCUGUUGAUCUUCGCGUCUCUGGCAAGGAUCUUGUUCCAAAUCAUCUUUCAUAUUACCUUUAUAAUCAUGUGGCUAUGUGGCCGGAACAAAGGUGAAUGAUAAAAUAGGUGUGGACUAGAUUUAUUGAUUGUCAAUAGGGGUGUCUUGUGGCUUCAAAUAUCUAAGAAAUUAUUGUGGAGGG